rnacentral:rRNA from 1 species
AGUGAACGCUGGCGGUAGGCCUAACACAUGCAAGUCGAACGGCAGCACAGGAGAGCUUGCUCUCUGGGUGGCGAGUGGCGGACGGGUGAGGAAUACAUCGGAAUCUACUUUUUCGUGGGGGAUAACGUAGGGAAACUUACGCUAAUACCGCAUACGACCUACGGGUGAAAGCAGGGGACCUUCGGGCCUUGCGCGAUUGAAUGAGCCGAUGUCGGAUUAGCUAGUUGGCGGGGUAAAGGCCCACCAAGGCGACGAUCCGUAGCUGGUCUGAGAGGAUGAUCAGCCACACAGGAACUGAGAAACGGUCCAGACUCCUACGGGAGGCAGCAGUGGGGAAUAUUGGACAAUGGGCGCAAGCCUGAUCCAGCCAUACCGCGUGGGUGAAGAAGGCCUUCGGGUUGUAAAGCCCCUUUGUUGGGAAAGAAAUCCAGCUGGCUAAUACCCGGUUGGGAUGACGGUACCCAAAGAAUAAGCACCGGCUAACUUCGUGCCAGCCGCCGCGGUAA